rnacentral:rRNA from 1 species
GACAGAGGCCUCGAGCGUUAGGCGGAAUCACUGGGCUUAAAGCGUGUGUAGGCGGGCCCGUAAGUGUCUUGUGAAAUCCCACGGCUCAACCGUGGAACUGCUGGGCAUACUGCGGGUCUUGGGCCAACUAGGGGCAGCCGGAACAAGCGGUGGAGCGGUGAAAUGCGUAGAUAUCGUUUGGAACGCCAAAGGUGAAAACAGACAGCUGGGAGUGUGCUGACGCUGAGACACGAAAGCCAGGGGAGCGAACGGG